rnacentral:snRNA from 1 species
AUCCCUUCUUGGCCUUUUGGCUAAGAUCAAGUGU